AUGGAGAUCGCUGCUGAGUGCGAGCACCGCAUGGAGCCGGUGCUGGUGACCCCGAGCCAGCCGACGCCGGCGCACACCCUCUACCUCUCCAACCUCGACGACCAGUGCCUCCUCCGCUUCUCCGUCGAGUACCUCUUUCGUUACUACCCGCUCGCCGGCAGGCUCGGGCCCGGGGACGACGGCAAGCUUGUCGUCGAUUGCAACGCGGAGGGGGCGCUUUUUGGGGAGGGGUUCCUGCCGGGGCUCACUGCCGACGAGUUCCUCCGGUGGUCUGCCACUCCUCACGAAUCCUGGAGGAAGCUGCUCCGCGGCGGAUCCAAGCCGCAGAGCCUGAUUGGCGUGCCCCCUCUUGUCGUCCAAGUGACUCGCCUCGGCUGCGGCGGCACCAUCCUCUGCACGGCCAUCAGCCACUGCCUCUGCGACGGCAUCGGCGCCGCACAGUUCCUCCAUGCGUGGGCGCGCGUCGCCAGGUUCGAAGCCGCCGAUCACCACGUCGCGCCCUUCCAUGACCGCUGCGUCCUGAGGCCGCGCUGCCCCCCGCGCGUCGCGUUCGAGCACCCGGAGUACGUGACAAACUCCGUCCCCAGCGGCGGUGACCCGGCGGCGACGCCCAGCCUCUUCUUCGGACCGCUGGCGCCGGUGUCUCUGACCUUCACGGGGGCACACGUCCAGCGCCACCGAUGCGUGCAGUGGCUCGAGGAUUGCACGUCCUUCGAGGCACUCGCGGCGCACGUCUGGCGCGCGUGGGUGCGGUCCCUCGGUCCUCCGAGCGACCUCCGCGUGAAACUCCUCUUCACCGUCGACAUCCGCCGUCGGGUGAACCCGGGCCUCCCCGAAGGGUACUACGGCAACGGCUUCGUGCUCGCAUGCGCCAAGUCGACGGCUGGGCAGUUGGCGGCGCCGUCCGGCGAGCACCACGCGGCGAGGCUGGUGCGGGCGGCCAAGGAGAUGAUUGACGAUGACUACGUCCGCUCCACGGUUGACCUCCUCGAGCUGCGACGGGACGCCAUGCCAGACCUCUCGGCGAGCCUGGUGAUCUCGGCGUGGACCCGGAUGGGGCUGGAGGACCUGGACAUCGGGGCCGGGCGGCCGGUGCACGUGGGCCCGCUGACCAGCGAGACGUACUGCUUGUUCCUCCCGGUGGUCGACGAUCCCCGUGGCGUGACUGCGCUGGUGUCGGUCCCGGAGGCGGCCGCCGAGAGGUUGGAGGACGGCUUCCUUCAUGGGUUGGAAUUGGAUGACAUGCAUGACGUGGAAAACGACGAGCAGUAA
rnacentral:rRNA from 1 species